GAUGAAGAACGUAGCGAAAUGCGAUAAGUAAUGUGAAUUGCAGAAUUCAGUGAAUCAUCGAAUCUUUGAACGCACAUUGCGCCCGCCAGCACUCUGGCGGGCAUGCCUGUUCGAGCGUCAUUUCAACCAUCAAGCCCCCAGGGGCUUGUGCUGGGGCCCUGCGGCUGCCCGCAGGCCCUGAAAACCAGUGGCGGGCUCGCUAGUCACACCGAGCGCAGUAGCACAUCUCGCUCAGGGCGUGCGGCGGGCUCCUGCCGUGAAACCCCCCACUGUAACCCCAAAGGUUGACCUCGGAUCAGGUAGGAAUACCCGCUGAACUUAAGCAUAUCAAUAAACGGAGGA
rnacentral:misc_RNA from 1 species